UUAAUACUCCCUCCAUCCGGAAAUACUUAUUGCAGAAAUGGGUCAAAAUGGAUGUAUAUAAAACUAAAAUACAUCUAGAUACAUCCAUUUCUCAUAUAUGUAUUUCUGGAUGGAGGGAGUAUACA
rfam:Triticum aestivum genome assembly, contig: Triticum_aestivum_CS42_TGACv1_scaffold_643293_T_6BL-0.188117_4AL-0.115132